rnacentral:lncRNA from 1 species
AAAAACUCUGUAAGAGAGCAGAAAUAAGAAUCUAUGGCACAGAUGCCCUGCAGAAGGCAAGAGCUAAGCCUGAGUUUAAUCUUGGCCAGUGCUGUUGUUGGGGUAUUUUUUUUUUUUUUUUCUUUUUAGGCUUGUACCUGUGGCAUAUGGGAGUUUCCUGGCUAGGGGUGGAAUUGGAGCUGCAACUGCUGGCCUAUACCACAGCCACAGCAAUGUGGGACCGGGGAUCCGAGCCUCGUCUGCAACCUACACCACAGCUCACAGCAAUGUUGGAUUCUAAACCCACUGUGUAAGGCCAGGGAUCAAACACACAUCCUCAUGGAUACCAGUCGGGUUCAUAACCCACUGAGCCACAACAGGAACUCUUGGGAUUUUUCCUGUGGCCACAUCGGAGGCAUAUGGAAGUUCCUGGGCCAGAGAUUGAAUCUGAGCUGCAGCUGUGGCCUAUGCUAUAGCUGUGGCAAUGCUAGAUCCUUUAAACCACUGUAAUAGGCUGGAGAUCAAACCCGCUGUGCCACAGCAAUAACUCGUAGUGUUGGGGUCUUAACCCCUGUCUCCAUUACUCCCUCUCUUUCUAUUACAUCAUAUUUUCUUUGACUAUAUAUUUUACACUUUAUUAUGUCUUGGCUUUUAAAUUUUAAACUGCCAAAUAACUGCUAUUUGCUUUGUGAUGAACAUUUUAGUUUUAUUUUGCCUUCAUUAUGUUGCUAUCUAAUAUAUUACAGCAAAGUACAUAUAUUGUAAGUGUCGAGCUUGAUUAAUUUUUCCUAAAAUGAAUAUACCCAUGUGUUCAGUAUUCAGGUUGAGAAACAGAAAAAUUCCAGCAUAUAAAGAAAUCCACUUUAUUUUCCCUUGCAGCCCUUCUAUAUUCACAACAAGGGUAAUCAUAUCUUGACUUCCAACAGCAAUAAUGAGUUUUAUCAGUUCUUAGAUUUUAUGUUAAUGGAAUUCUAUUAUACGUGACUUUUUGGGUAUCUGGCUGCUUUUGUUGUAUGUUUUGUGAGAUUCAUCUUAUUGUUGCAUGUAGCUGUUGAUUGCUUUAUAGCAUUGAUUGUGUGCGACUAGACCACAACGUAUUCAGGCUACUGUUGUUAGGCUUUUGGCUAGUUUGAAUAUGGGGCUGUGAUGCAUGUGUUGUUAUUGGUCUAGUCAAUGUCUUUUGGUGAAUAAGUAUUUUAAUGUCGAACAUAUGUUUAGGAGGGGAGUUGCUGAGUUAUUUUUUAACAAAACAGUUUUAGUAGGAAUUCUCAGUCAUUGGCCCAUUCAACAAAUAUCUCUGAAGAUUUUUCAAAACAUCUAUGCCUAAAUUCUACCUUAGGAAUUUAGAUUCAAGUCUUUUGGAGUGAGGCCAAAUUUUGCUCAUUAAAACAAAAACCAGGGAGUUCUCUUGGGGCACAGCAGGUUGAAGACUGGGUGUUGUUGCUGUAGCGCUUGGGUCAUGGCUGUGGUGCAGAUUCGAUUCCUGGCCUGGGAACUUUCCAUAUGCUGUGAGCACAGCCAAAACAACAACCCCCCCCAAAAAAAAAAAAAAAAACUCCAUAGAAAUAUACUUGUGCAGCUGACGUUGAGAAUCACUGACCUUUUUUUGAAUGACAGAACAAUGUUCAUGGGUUAAGGAUCUGGUGUUUCCACAAGCUGUGGCACAGGUUGCAGAUGCGGCUCGUUCAAUCCCCUAGCCUGGGAACUUGCUUGUGCUGCAGAUGCAGCCUUAAAAAAAAAAAAAAAAAAAAAAAAAAAAAAAAAAAUCUCAGCUCAAGCUCCCAACAAAGACUUGCUAUUUUUUUAAAUUAACAUUUUAAAUGUUGAGAUAACUGUGGAUUCACAUGCAGUUGUAAGAGUAUCCUUAGCUUCCUCUAAUGGGAACAUCUCACUAGACAAUCGUACAAUAUUAGGAUGAGGAUAUUGACAUUGGCACAGGAAAGAUACAGAAUAUUUCCAUCACCACAAGGCUCCUGAUACUAUCCUUUUAUAGCCACAUGCACUUCCUACUGUCUCCACUCCUUCUUUAGCCCUUGGCAACCACUAAUCUGUUCUCCAUUAUUAUAAUUUUGUCAUUUCAAGAAUGGUGUGCAAAUGGAAUCAUGCAGCAUGUAAGCUUCUGAAAUUUGCUUUUUCUCUCAGCGUGAUUAUCCAGAGAGAGAGAUCCAGGGUUUUGUAUAUUAACAGUUUGUUCCUUUCUAUUGCUGAGUAUGUUUAACUCUGCAGUUGGUUUAACCAUGUACUUGAAGAACAUCUGGGUUGUUUCCACUUUGCUCUUACAAAUAAAGUCUUUUGUAAAAUUUGUGUACAGGUAUUUGUGUGAACAUAAAUGUCAUUUAUCUGGGAUCAAUGCUCAGUAAUGCAGUUGCUGGGUUGGAAAGUGAUGGCAUGUUUUUAAAAUUUUUCCAUUUUGUUACAACAUUACAGAUGCAUUGCCCUCUGAAACAUCACAUUUAAGAAGGGGACAAAUCCUUUAAAUCCCAAUGAUUAUUAAUGAAAAUGACAAAACUUUGUUUUCUCUAAACAUUGAUGAAAAGUGGCAUGUGUCUGGUUAUUCUUGUACAAGAAGGCCUGAUGUGUAGCCAAGAUGAUUGCACAUUUACUUUUUUUAUGGUCCAAAGGAGCUGUAGUAUUUUACAUUCACACUAGUUAGGCAUGAGUGAUUCGGGUUCUUCAUAUCCUUGCCAGCACUUUGUGCUGUCACUUUUUAUUUUUAGCUAUUGCGACAGGUGUGUAGUGAUAGCUCAUUGUGCUUUUAAUUUCUAGUUCCCUAAUGGCUAAUGAUAGUGAACAUCUUCUCAUGUACUUCUUGGCCAACUGUAUGUUCUUGUCAGUGAAAUAUCCAUUCUUGUCUUUUGCCCAUUUUUAAAUGGAAUUCUUGUUGAGUUCUGAGAAUUCUUUAUACAUCAAGAUAUGUUCCUUUGUCUUAUAUGUGGCUUGCAAAUACUUUUUCAUAUUACAUAGCUUUUUUUUGUUUGUUUGUUUUUGUCUUUUUAGGGCCCUGUGGCAUAUGGAGGCUCCCAGGCUAGGGGUUGAGUUAGAGCAGUAGCUCCUGGCCUAUACCCAAGCCACAGCAAUACGGGAGCCAAGCUGCAUCUGCGACCUACACCAUAGCUCGUAUCAGCGCCGGCUCCUUAACCCACUGAGGAAGGUCAGGGAUUGAACUCGUGUCCUCAUAGAUACUAGUCUGUCUUUUCAUGUUCCUGAUAAAUCUUUAACAGAGAAAAAUUUUUGAUUUUAAUGAGAUCACAUUUAUAAAGUUUUCCUUUCAUGGAUUGUGAUUUUUGUGUCAAAUUUAAAAACUCUUUACCUAUCUCUAGACUCUCAAAAUUUUCUCCUAUAUUUCUGUUGGUUUUAUAGUUCUGCAGCUUACAUUUGUCUGUAAUUAAUUUUGAGUAAUUCUUGUAAAGUUAUUAGAUUAGGUAGAGGUUUAUUUUUUGCUCUAUAGCUGCCUAGUUGCUCUAGUACUGUUGGUUGAAAAGGCUGUUUUAUUCACUGAAAUAGUUUGCAUCUUUGUAGGAUAAGUCGGGCAUAUUUGUAUGGGAUUACCUUUGAAUCUUUCUGUUUUGUUAUCUAUGUGUCAAUCCUUCUGCCAACAAUAGUCAUGAUUACUCUCUCUAUAUAUAAAAUAUCUCUUGAAAUUGAGUAAACUGAUUCCUAUUUUAUUAUUAUUUUUUUAAAUUACAGCUAUUCUAGAUUCUUUGCUUUCCCAUAUAAAUUUUCAAAUAGUUUUGCCUAUAUCUAUAAAAUUCUUGGAGUUCCUGUUAUGGCUCAGCACAUUACAAACCUGACUGAUAUCCAUGAAAAUGCAGGUUCAAUCCCUGGCCUAGCUCAGUGGGUUGAGGAUCUGGUGUAGCCUGCAGAUGUGACUUGGAUCCCACAUUGCUAUGACUGUGGUAUAGGCUGGCAGCUGCAGCUCUGAUUCAACCCCUGGCCUGGAACCUUCCAUAUGCUGCAGUUGUAACCCUAAAAAACAAAGGAAACAAACAAACAAAAAAUUUAAUUUUGAUAGGAACUGUCUUAACUCAAUUUGCAUAUCAAUUUGGGGAGAAUUGACAUCUUAAAUAUGUAGACUCCUCCAAUCCAUGAAUAUGGUAUAUCUCUUUAAUUUUUUUUUAGGUCUUUUAUUUUUUUCAUCAGCACUUGAGAGUUUAGCAUUACAAGUCCUGUUUGUAUUUUGUUAGAUUUAUAUAUAAUUACUUUAUAUUUUUUGAAUGGCUGUAAAUGAUAUUGCAUUUUAAAAUUUGGUGUGCUUUAUUCAUUGAUAGUAUAUAAAAUAAAAUUGAUUUUUGCAUCUUUACUUUAUAUCCGUGACCUUGCUAAAUUCAUUUCUUAUACUUCUGAGUGGUUUUUGGAGACUCAUUGGAAGUUUCUGCAUAGACAAUCAUGUCAUUUGCAAAUUGGGACAGUUUUCUUUCUUCCUAUCCAAUCUGUACAUCUUUUGUUUCUUGUCUUAUUGCACUGGGUAGAUCUUCUAACACUAUGUUGACUUAGAAUGGUAGAAGUGCCUUAAUCUUUGCUUUAAUCCUGUUUUCACCAUGAAGUAUGUUAGCUGUGGGUGGUCUAUAGACGCUUUUUAUAAAGUUGAGGAAAUUUCCCUGCAUUCCUGUUUCUUGAGUGUUUUAAAAUCAUGAAUGGAUGUUGAAGUUUGUCAAAUGCCUUUUCUGCAUCCAUUGGUCUGAUCUCAUGACUUUCCUGCUUUAGCCUAUUAAGAUAAAUAAAAUUGACUUUUUUUCUAACUUGAAAUCAGUCAAGUAUCCCUGAAAUAAUCUCCACUGGCAAUAGUGUUUAAAUUCUUUUGAUGUUAAAGACUAUUUAUAUUCUUUUUAUGUGCUCCUAUUUGUUAUCUUUGGUUAAGAAUUUUUGUGUCAUAUUGAUGAGAGAUAUUGACCUACAGUUUUUUGUACUGUUUGUGUGUGGUUUGGGUAUUGGGGUGAUACUGGUUUUAUAAAACAUGGGAAAUGUUUUCCUCUUCUGUUUUCUGUAACAGAUUAUAUAAUGAUGUUAAUUAUUUCACUAUAUGGUAAAGGUUUGCUGUGAACUCACCUGGGGCUAAGAUUCAUUUUUUGAGGAGUUUUAAAAUUAAUAAUUCAAUUUACUUAAUAGCUAUAGGGCUAUAAAAUUAUCUAUUUGAUACUGGGUGGGUUGUGGUAGUUUGUGUUUUUCAAGGAAUUGGUGUAUUUCAACUAAAUUGUAAAAUUUAUGUGUAGAAUUAUUCAUGAUAGUUACUUUUUUUUUUCAAUGAUUUUUAUUUUUUCCAUUAGAGUUGGUUUACAGUGUUCUGUCAAUUUUUUUUUUUUUGUCUUUUCUAGGGCUACCCCUGUGACAUAUGGAGGUUCCCAGGCUAGGGAUCCAAUCGGAGCUGUAGCCGCCGGCCUAUGCCAGAGCCACAGCAAUGAGGGAUCUGAGCCGCAUCUGAGACCUACACCACAGCUCAUGGCAAUGCCGGAUCCUUAACCCGCUGAGAGAGGCCAGGGAUUGAACCUGCAACCUCAUGGUUCCUAGUCAGAUUUGUUAACCACUGUGCCAUGACGGGAACUCCUGUUCUGUCAGUUUGCUACUGUACAGCAAAGUGAUCCAGGCACACAUACAUAAAACUUAUUCUUUUGAUGCCUACAAAGUUUGGGUUUCAUCCUAGGUUUUACUCCUGCUGUUGGUAAUUUAUCUUUUCUCUACCUCUUUUUUUUCAGUCUUGCUAGAGAUCUGUUGGGUUUUUUUUUCUUCUUUUCAAAGAACUUUCUGUUUUUUUUUUUUUUUUUUGGUUAUUGUUUUUGUUUUUGUUUUUUUUUUGUCUUUUUAUGGCUGCACCUGCAGCAUGUGGAGGUUCCCCGUCUAGGGAUCCAAUCUGAGCUGUAGCCGCUGGCCUACACCACAACCACAGCAACAGGGGAUCUGAGCCGUGUCGUCUGCGACCUACACCACAGCUCAUGGCAAUGACAGAUCCUUAACCCACUGAUCAAGGCCAAGGAUCGAACCUGAAUCCUCAUGGAUACUAGUCGGGUUCAUUAACUGCUAAGCCAUGAUGGGAACUCCUAUUUUUUUUUCUGUUCAUUUUCCUUGAUUUCUUUUCUUAUUUCAUUCCUUGCAUGAGGUUUAUCUUGCUUUUCUUUGCUUCGUUUAUUGAUUUGAGACUUUUCCUUAUUUCUAAUGUAUGCCUUUAAUGCUGUACAUUUUCUUUCUAGAGCUGUUUUCUCUGCAUCCCACAUUUUUUUUUUUGUUUUUUUAUAGCUGCACCCAGGGAAUAUGGGGUUUCCCAGGCUAGGGGUCGAAUUGGGACUGUAGCCACUGGCCUAUACCAGAGCCAC